rnacentral:lncRNA from 1 species
UUCUUUGGCCAUUAUUUAGGCACGAAAAUGAAAAACUUAACCCCAAAUUUUGUCGCGCGAGAUCGAUAAUUGAUUGUGUGAAUAAUGUACUUAACCCCAAAUUUUGUCGCGCGAGAUCCAUAAUUAAUUGUGUGAAUAAUGUUUCCUACGGUUAAAGGGAUUAUCAUUAAUCCCAAAAAAUUUCUCUCAACUUCAUCUUCGCAUCAAAAAAUCUGUUCUCUCUGUCCCAAUUGCAAAAGCCCUAACUGGGAAGCCCCAAAGACCUGUCAAUGCAAUUUGUUUGAAGGUAAUUUUUUUCCAACAACUUUGUUUCUCCAUAUUCCAUUACUUGCUGAAAUGAUUUUCUUCUUCAUCUUCUUCGGUACGCCACUUCGCUAUCUCCCAUCGUUUUGUUCUGCAACAAAUUAGUCGUACACUGAGGUACCAAUGGUAUGUAUGAUUAUAUCUAUCCGUUAAACCCUUAGUUAAUUUAUUUAUAUUUUUGGGUUUAAUUGUUUAUAAUUUUUGGAUACUCUUAGAACUCAUUUGAUUGUUCUUUGCGACCGUUUAAUUCUUAACGUGAUAUGCGUAAUUAGCAGAAGUAGCUGAUUCGAUUGUAUUGUGCUAGCUAUUGUCUUUUGACCUAGGUAAGAAUUGAUAGUGACAUUCCUAUGAAGAUUUGCUCCAAUUGAGAAAUCAAAUAGGCAGAUAGGGGAAUUUUUCUGAUUAUACUAUAUGUUUAUCCAAUUUAUUUCAGUUUUGUGACCACUAUUUGACCUGAAUAAAGAAAAAAACCUAUAAGGAGACGGAGAGAUGGUAAAGAAUUGGCCAUAGAUCGACAAUUAGUAUUUUUUUUUCUUCUGCAUAUUUGAAUUGGGAUUGUUUUGACAUGGCUAUGAAUAAAAAAAAUAUUGCAUUUUUUGAAGUAAAUUUGCAGUUAAGAUGUUUAUACAAAUGUCUCACUAAGUCCAGCCAUUUUUUUGGCCAAAAUCCGUUUUCAGGUUUGGAUUUUUAAUUUUGAUUAAGCAAAUUGUUGUUGCCUGUUAUGUAGACUUGCUCAUUUUAUGUAUUUAGUUUAAUUUUGGGUUGCAUUUGUGUUGCAAUCUAUUGAAAUUUCAUAUUUUCAGCCCAGUCUAUUAUGUCAAAAAUUUUAACUGUUAGAUCAUUAUGAAAGUGUUUUACACAAAAAUUGAAAAAACAAAUCAUUCAGAAAAAUCUCAGUACAGGUAGCUGCUCACACUUGGUCGUAUAUCCCCUUAUAUGUGUACAAUGUCUUUGGCCUCUAUUUUCUCAAUAUAUGUGUGGUUGCGUCCUAUGAACGAUAAUAGCAUCUGUCUUGUCUUGGUUAUCAACUCGGUCGUCAUGGGUGUUGUGGUUUCUGCAUCCAAGUCUUGGCAGCGUGCUGGUACUUCUUUCUAGCAAGGGCGUUGCUGCUGGUAUACAUGGCUGCGUGCUGGUACUCCAUUACCCCCUAAACGUUAAUAUAUUUUCUGCAUUUUUGAUCCAUUCGCGUUUGGUUACCGAGAAACUUAUGGGGUGUUUGGUUGAAGUAUCCUAUGGGGUGUUUCAAAGGUCUCCAUAAGUUGGUUGUGGAUUUGAUUUAGUGUUAACUUUUUAUGAGCGGCAGCCCAUAGUUACAGUUGAGUGAAUUACCAUGUUUAUGGAAUCAAGGGUUAUUGUUAGGAAACUUAAUAUAAUCAUCUUUUCAAAACAGAAAGCAUUUCAAAAAUAUGUGCAACUGUGAAAGUAUUAGCUAAAAAAUUGGUAAAGCAUAAUAAUACAUGUAGUGGAUACAUGCCGGCUAGAAUUGAAGCUCUUCCAUGGGAGUGGAUUAUUUUUUUGAUGGAUAGGAUCUGGCUCUUUGAAGGCAGUUUUGUCAUCUUCUAAUUUUAAUACAAACUCUCUAGUUCUAGACCUUCCCUGUUACUAUGGAUAAAGACGUAAUAUGUGGAAUGCCUGCCUGACUUUUCAUAAUAUUUUAGUUUGNNNNNNNNNNNNNNNNNNNNNNNNNNNNNNNNNNNNNNNNNNNNNNNNNNNNNNNNNNNNNNNNNNNNNNNNNNNNNNNNNNNNNNNNNNNNNNNNNNNNAACUAAAUAAUGAGUCCUGACACGUAUAAAUGACUUAUAAUCCUGAUAUUUAUAAAUAUCUAUGUAAUAAAAUACAAUUAAUUUUAAAUUUUCCGUUAACCUUAAUAAAUCAUUUGGGUCGUUCAAAAUUUAAGAUAAAUCCCACCAUAUACGUAGUGUCGGAGGUACGAGACACAUCUAGUAUAUAUAUAGAAUUAGGAUCAGGUCCGAGAGUGCGGACCUGAUUAAAUACGGACCCUAUUUUAUUUUUUAUUUUUUUUUGCUUUUUUUUAAAAACAACUAAAAAAAAGUUUAAUAUUUUAUGGAACUGGAAUUUUUCCAUAAUACAGUGUUUUGGGUGUGAUCUGGAUACAUAUAACAAAAUAUGUAUGUACAGACUGUACAUACCUAUUUUGUUAUAUGUAACCAAAUCACACCCAAAAUACUGUAUUAUGUAAAAAUUCCAGUUCCAUAAAAUAUUAAACUUUUUUUUAGUAGUUUUUUUAAAAAAAAAGCAAAAAAAAAAAUCCGUAACUUAAGAAAAUGCGGGAGUCCGGAUAGGAACCGGACCCUAUAUAUAUAUGUGUGUGGAUGAAUUUGGUGAAGCUAUUUGUCAAAAUUUAAUCGACCUUUUCGUUGAUUGGAUUGAAUUUAUCAAAUGUAAGCAAUAUAUUAGUACUCAAAGGUCAUACCUAAUAUACUGCUAUACUGGAAUGUUAGAGGAGCUAUGGUGGUCCAUAUUGAGGUGCUUGUUAUUGAAACAAAUGUAAUUACAGUUUUCAACAAAAUUCAUUCUAAUAAGUCAAAGAAUCCACUUCUUCGACAGUUUUAAGGAGGCUUUUAAAUUUAUCUAAUCAAAUAUAAUACGCCAUCAAUUGUCGCACCAUUGCAAUCGUUAGAAUUUUUACAAUCUAAUUGUAUUUUAUUUUCAUCCAUUACAAUUUGCAUGCUGUGACUUACCCAAGUAUGUGUUUGUAUUUGUACGUGUCAUUUGCUAAUUUAUUUUAUCCAUUCCCCCCCUCAUUUUGUGGCUAUAUAUAUGCAGGUCUAUAUGUCAUGUGUCGCGCAUGGCCAUAGGUAAGCUUCUUAGCCUUCUUAUAUGCAUAGUGGUUUGCUGUUAAGAAUCCUUGUCUAACAGUUAAUUAUAGUAAUUAGCAAUUGAAAGGUUGAUUUAACUAACAGUUAUACCCACAAUUUAAACCUUAUAUGUUGCCUAGUAACUAGUAUUUUUCUUGAUUGAUAUUAAAUGGUACUUUGAUUUUUAGAUGAUUCAUGAUUAGCACUUUAUUGCCAGAGUUGGAGUUUCUUAUUAUGAUUCCAGUAUUCGCCAUCUUUAUGUGAUGGAAUUUUGGGAGGAUGGGAGCUCUGAUUUUUCUCUGAUUGAUAUAGGUAAGAGAUUUUGUCUCAUUGCUAGAAUAGGAGUCAAUUUCAUGUAACCCUGACCAGAUUUUGUUUUAUGUUUACUACAAUUGACAGGGAGGAAUAUGUAUUACUUGUUGACAUUAAAUUACUUCCUUGAUUAUCUGAUUUUUAUAUGAUGUUGGUUGUCAUUUAUUAAGGAAUCAUAUAUUGUUUAACAUGUAACUUUCUAUGUUGUGCAUAUAAUACAAGUACUUUUGACUGAUUCUGGUUCAGUUAAAUCCCAAGCGAAGCCCCAAGUCAUAUACACAAGCACUAAGAGCGAAGAAUCCCUUUUGUCUGCUUUACAACAAAAUG